rnacentral:rRNA from 1 species
AAGUCGAGCGGAAGCAAAGACACGGAAUUUUUCGGAAGGAAGUGUGUUUGCUUUAGCGGCGGACGGGUGAGUAACGCGUGGAUAACCUGCCUCAUACAGGGGGAUAACAGUUAGAAAUGACUGCUAAUACCGCAUAAGCACUCGGGAGCGCAUGCUUCCGGGUGAAAAGCUCCGGCGGUAUGAGAUGGAUCCGCGUCUGAUUAGCUGGUUGGCGGGGUAACGGCCCACCAAGGCGACGAUCAGUAGCCGACCUGAGAGGGUGGCCGGCCACAUUGGGACUGAGACACGGCCCAAACUCCUACGGGAGGCAGCAGUGGGGAAUAUUGCACAAUGGGGGAAACCCUGAUGCAGCAACGCCGCGUGGGUGAAGAAGUAUUUCGGUAUGUAAAGCCCUAUCAUCAGGGAAGAGAAUGACGGUACCUGACUAAGAAGCCCCGGCUAACUACGUGCCAGCAGCCGCGGUAAUACGUAGGGGGCAAGCGUUAUCCGGAUUUACUGGGUGUAAAGGGAGCGUA